GACGAACGCUGGCGGCGUGCUUAACACAUGCAAGUCGAACGGUAAGGCCCUUCGGGGUACACGAGUGGCGAACGGGUGAGUAACACGUGGGUGAUCUGCCCUGCACUUCGGGAUAAGCCUGGGAAACUGGGUCUAAUACCGGAUAGGACUCCUGCCUGCAUGGGUGGGGGUGGAAAGCUUUUGCGGUGUGGGAUGGGCCCGCGGCCUAUCAGCUUGGUGGUGGGGUGAUGGCCUACCAAGGCGACGACGGGUAGCCGGCCUGAGAGGGUGACCGGCCACACUGGGACUGAGACACGGCCCAGACGCCUACGGGAGGCAGCAGUGGGGAAUAUUGCACAAUGGGCGCAAGCCUGAUGCAGCGACGCCGCGUGAGGGAUGACGGCCUUCGGGUUGUAAACCUCUUUCAGCACAGACGAAGCGCAAGUGACGGUAUGUGCAGAAGAAGGACCGGCCAACUACGUGCCAGCCGCCGCGGUAA
rnacentral:rRNA from 1 species